AUGCUGGGCUCAAUGCACUGGAUCAUGGCAUUCCUCUCCAGCUUCAGUUGACGCUGGCAGCGCAGGAAGAGGCUCUCUAUCAAUCUGACCUGCCCCUAGUGGAUCCCAUGGAUGGCAGCCAGCCUGUGAGUUCUGAAAGUUAUGUUGUUUGACUCUCAAGAAGAUAAAGAAAUGGAAUGGCAGCUGGAGAGGACAGGAAGAUUUGCAUGACAGUAGAACUACUGAUGUGAUGGACAGGAGCCAUGAAGUCAUUUCAAUGCCUACUUGUAAUCUAAGUUAUUCAGCCCUGUGUGAGCAUGUAAGACGGUGUUCUCCACCAGCACCAUCUUUAAAGAUGUAGAAGUGUCUGCAGGCUUAAAUGCAUCUCCUUUUUAUUUCAUGAAUGAAGAAUCCAUCAGAAAUCUCUGCACAAAGGUAACUGAUGACCUUAUUGAGUUUAUAAAUUUUUGGGGGGCUGCUACAGAGGAAAUAAUUCUCUACUGAAGUCAAGCCAUAACCUAUUAAAUACCUUACCGGGUAAAGAAAUUCCUUGCUUCAACAAGGAAGGUUACAGUUGGUUACAUCUAAUAAAACUUUAAUAUUGUCAUUUGGCAUAGUGUUGCAUAUCCUGUCUUGUCCUUCUAUUAAAGAGACAGGGGAUUAUGUACUAAAAUUACUAUGUGCCAGGAACAUUUCUAUUGAAAAUGUAGGCUAAAAAAUGCUGGCAGUAUUCUGUGUGAGAAAAAAGGUUGUAUUCAAUUAGUACUGUGGAACAACAGUGAACAAUGAAAUAAAGAUGAUCUUAUAACUUACUGUACAUUGCAUAAAUGAGGAAAGUCCGUGUUGUUUUAGGUUCUUCAUUUGAGAAAUGACUGAAACAAAGAUAAAAACUGAGGAAUGCCAUAGCUUACUUCAGUGAUGAAAGUGGAUUUUUUUUUAUAUCUCAAGGAUGCAAGCAAAUUAUGAAACAGUCAAAUGCAUCUAAAAAAACCCCAUAGGUACAGAUUAAGUUAAUAGGAAAAUUCCUUGAUAAAGAUAAGUAUACAGCCACAUAAUUCUAUCCUUAGGAAAUAAGUAGAACCCCAAUCACACACAUUUGAAAGUAGAAUAUAUAAAGGACUAGCUCUAUGAUACAAGGGGGGUUAAAUCAGAAGGGACUUUAUGAACAUAAAUAGUCUGAAUAUUAUCCAGAAAUUAUGUGCUGAAAUUUUUUAUUAUGGACUUAAAUGAUUUCCUGAGUUCUUUUUAACUCAGAGUAUCUUAGGGGCAAAAUGAAGAAGGCAACAAUUUCUACUUCCAAUUUUAACUUCAGAAAUUUAACUCACUUUCAUACUAGAUUUUGCCCGUUUUAUUUGCUUUUCUAGUGGAAAAAUGUUAUUUCAGGGUAAAUUGAAACAUUUAUUUAUCUUUGCAAUGCAUUCCUCUGUAUGUUUUACUUGAACAGAAAGAAGAUUUCAGGAGAGAAGGGAGGUGUUAUUUGACUGCUCUGUUUCAUGUGGUACAAGUUGAUUUUGUGGUUUCCUUAAUGGAAAAAGAAAAAUUGUUUUACGUAAUCCCCAAAUACUCAUUAUUUUUAGUGAAUGAAUGAAAUACAGUUCUAGUUC
ensembl:lncRNA